rnacentral:rRNA from 1 species
GACGAACGCUGGCGGCGUGCUUAACACAUGCAAGUCGAACGGAAAGGCCCCUUUGGGGGUACUCGAGUGGCGAACGGGUGAGUAACAGGUGAGUAACCUGCCCUUGACUUCGGGAUAACUUCAGGAAACUGGGGCUAAUACCGGAUAGGAAUCCUUGCUGCAUGGUGGGGGUUGGAAAGCUUCGGCGGUUUUGGAUGGACUCGCGGCUUAUCAGCUUGUUGGUGGGGUAGUGGCUUACCAAGGCUUUGACGGGUAGCCGGCCUGAGAGGGCGACCGGCCACAUUGGGACUGAGAUACGGCCCAGACUCCUACGGGAGGCAGCAGUGGGGAAUAUUGCACAAUGGGCGGAAGCCUGAUGCAGCAACGCCGCGUGCGGGAUGACGGCCUUCGGGUUGUAAACCGCUUUCAGCAGGGGCGAAGCUUGUGGUGACGGUACCUGCAGAAGAAGCACCGGCUAACUACGUG